CAAUACAUAGGAACACUUGGGUCCCUGCAGUCAGGGUGUGGAAAUGGCACACGAGUUCAGCCCUACGGUGCAUUUUUCUUACUAGGAGGAGAUGAAGUGUAUUUUAUGGGAUAUAAGUAUUAGUUACAUUUCCUGUCCUGUUCACAUCCUUUGCCCAUGUGUCUGUGAGGUUAUUGAUCUUUCUUACUGAUUUAUUGUAGCUCUUUACUUAGGAGGUUAAUUAGCCCUUUGCCUGUGGAGAGUUUUUUGGUUUGCCAUUUGUCCUUUUUUAAUUUUUUUCAUUUUUUGGCCAUUUGUCUUUUGACUCUGAUGUGGUUUUUGCUGAUUUCCUUUGAUGUAUUCUAAUUUAUCUGACUUUUCUUUGGCGACUUAUGGAUUUUCUCUCACCCACUAAAAGCCCUCACUACUCUCUCAGUCUUCUUGAUUUAACCUCCUCCAGGCUUCCGCCUUCUCCAGGCCCUGAUUCUCAGUUGGAGUUGCUGGUGCCUCCUCCUUCACCCAGCGUCUGAUGCUGGAGUGCUCACAGUGUGGCUGGGACCCACUUCUCUCCUCUGUAGACACCCACCCCUGUGUUGAUCACUUGCAGGCCCUGGGUUCUGUGUGCCAUGUGUAUGCCCUAGAGCCCUUGCUCACGUUUCCCCACAGCCUGCAUGAAGUCUGUGUUCCUCAGAUGCCCCACAGACAUCAGAAGCAAGGCACAUCCAAACCCCAGACCACCAUCCAGGAGUCUGCACCCUCUUUCUCUUGGCUCCACCUCCAGCCUCCGAGACCCACCCACUUCCCUGCAUUUGCUGAGACCAUCAUUUUCCACCUAGACAAUGCCCCCACGCUUGCCCUACCGCCCUUCCAAAAACGAUUUUUUCCAACUUACAUCAGACCUAGAAAGCUUUUUCACAUAGCCCAGUCUUCCUCCUUGUGCGGGGUUCUGUCUCAUUAUCACCUCAUCAGGGAAGUCUGUACAGAUAGAAUCCCCACCCCUGCCUUUGUCGCUUCCGUCUGCUUCUUUGGUCAGUUUCAGGUCCCUGUAGUUCACACUGUGUCCCCAGGGCUGAAGUGGGUCCCGGCACGGUGGGCAUUCUGUCAUGAAUGAAUGGUCCCCUUGUGUAUGCAGGGUUUGCGCUGCAGCUAGACAGCAUCUCCGCAGGUCCAGGUAGUGUAAGCCCUCACCUCCACGUCCCCUGGGACCUCGGCAUGGCUGGCCUUUCUGGCCAGAUCCAAUCACCCUCCCGCGAAGGUGGCUUUGCGCAUGCGCUUGUGCUCCCCAGCGAUCUGAGGAGUGAACAGGACCCCACGGACGAGGAUCCCUGCCGGGCUGUGGGCCCUGCUCUGGUCACCACCCGCUGGCGCUCCCCCAGGGGCCGGAGCCGGGGCCGCCCCAGCACUAGGGGCGGGGUGGUUAGGGGCGGCCGUUGCGAUGUAUGUGGCAAGGUGUUCAGCCAACGCAGCAACCUGCUGAGGCACCAGAAGAUCCACACGGGUGAGCGACCAUUCGUGUGCAGCGAGUGCGGCCGCAGCUUCAGCCGCAGCUCGCACCUGCUGCGCCACCAGCUUACGCACACCGAGGAGCGGCCGUUCGUGUGCGGUGACUGCGGCCAGGGCUUCGUGCGCAGCGCGCGCCUGGAAGAGCAUCGGAGAGUGCACACGGGCGAACAGCCUUUCCGUUGCGCUGAGUGCGGCCAGAGCUUCCGGCAGCGCUCCAAUCUGCUGCAGCACCAGCGCAUCCACGGCGAUCCCCCGGGCCCUGGCGCUACACCCCCGGCCCCUCCUAGUGCGCCCGAGCCUCCUGGCCCCUUUCCGUGCAGCGAGUGCCGCGAGAGCUUCGCGCGGCGUGCCGUGCUACUGGAGCACCAGGCGGUACACACGGGCGACAAGUCCUUUGGCUGCGUCGAGUGCGGCGAGCGCUUCGGCCGCCGGUCAGUGCUGCUGCAGCACCGGCGCGUGCACAGUGGCGAGCGGCCGUUCGCCUGUGCCGAGUGCGGCCAGAGCUUCCGGCAGCGCUCCAACCUGACGCAGCACCGGCGCAUCCACACCGGGGAGCGGCCCUUCGCCUGCGCCGAGUGUGGCAAGGCCUUCCGCCAGCGGCCCACGCUCACGCAGCAUCUCCGCGUACACACGGGCGAGAAACCCUUUGCCUGCCCCGAGUGUGGCCAGCGCUUCAGCCAGCGCCUCAAGCUCACGCGUCAUCAGAGGACACACACCGGCGAAAAGCCCUACCACUGCGGUGAGUGCGGCCUGGGCUUCACGCAGGUCUCGCGGCUCACCGAGCACCAGCGCAUCCACACUGGCGAACGGCCCUUCGCCUGCCCCGAGUGCGGCCAGAGCUUUCGGCAGCACGCCAACCUCACCCAACACCGGCGCAUCCACACGGGCGAACGGCCCUACGCAUGCCCUGAGUGUGGCAAGGCUUUCCGCCAGCGGCCCACGCUCACGCAGCAUCUGCGCACCCACCGACGAGAGAAGCCCUUCGCUUGCCAGGACUGUGGCCGCCGCUUCCACCAGAGCACCAAGCUCAUUCAGCACCAGCGCGUCCACAGCGCCGAGUAGCUCCAGCCGGAACGCACUGUGUUCGCCAUGGUCAGAACACCUACCUCCCCUGGUUGUUGUGAGGCCGACGAUUACAUAAGCAUAAGGAGGUCUGCCCAGGGCUUGGCUACUGUAGGUGUCCAAUAAACAGUAGAUGGAAAC
rnacentral:sRNA from 1 species